AAUCAAAACCUACCGUCAGGGGUCUUCGGGUGCGGCCGCUCUGCCAGUUCUCCUUUGCGACUGGGAUUCCUCUUCGACUAACUUGCACUAGAAAAAGUUGGUGAACACGAUUUUGAAAACAUCGUGUAAAACGAAAAAACAUGAAGGAGGUCAUCGGAGAGGGUUUAGGGUUUUGGCUACGGUUGCUCUACCAGAUUUUGUUCACAAUUUUUAGCUCAUACGCUGUCCCUUUUGCUCCGAUAUUACCACAGGGAGAUUCACAAUUAAAUUCCAAGUGGGGAGGAGAAAAUUUUACAUUUUUUGGCAGUCGACGGUUGUAGUUACCCGGAACUUAAA
rnacentral:lncRNA from 1 species